GUGGAUAUAGCUCAGUGGUAGAGCUCAUGCUUAGCAUGCACAAGGUCCAAGGUUCUGGGUUCAAUCCCCAGUACCUCCA
rnacentral:tRNA from 1 species